UUUAUUUCCAGAAAUCGAAGGCUUAGAGUUUCGUACGCGUCCUCUUUGUAUUAGUUAAGUCUAUUACGCGAUUCGGUGAACGUGGGAAUCGUCCAAAGGUGCGAUCGAAUUCUUGGCCGAGCUCUGGGGUCGGGUUAUCAGCUACUGUCACGAGCACGUCGCCAAACGAUCGUCGAGGGAAUGUGGAAAAUGUAACGCUAGCUAAAUUAGUUAACGGGCCCAAUUGCGAUGGUCGCUUGGGAAAUGAAAGGGGUGGAAGUCGGCCAAUUAUGAGAAAUGAGUACGUGUUAUCGAAGGUAAUGUGAGGAUACGGAAGAAUAACAUUUUUAUUUCAACGCUUUGAACGUUAAAUUAGAAAAAUAACGAGUCAAUUGGUCAUAAUGAUUAUAU